rnacentral:rRNA from 1 species
UACGAAGGGGGCUAGCGUUGCUCGGAAUCACUGGGCGUAAAGCGCACGUAGGCGGCUUACUAAGUCAGGGGUGAAAUCCUGGAGCUCAACUCCAGAACUGCCUUUGAUACUGGUGAGCUUGAGUCCGGAAGAGGUGAGUGGAACUGCGAGUGUAGAGGUGAAAUUCGUAGAUAUUCGCAAGAACACCAGUGGCGAAGGCGACUACCUGGCCUGUUCUUGACGCUGAGGCGCGAAAGCUAGGGGAGCAAACGGG